CUGUGGACUAUGAUGGUGGACGGA
rnacentral:piRNA from 1 species